CCCUUAGAUGUUCUGGGCUGCACGCGUGCUACACCGAUAUUGCCAAUAUGUCAUUCUUAUCCGAAAUGGAUUGGGUAAUCAAGUAAUGAAAUUUCAUGCUUGGAAUCGGUAAUUGCAAUUUUAUCGUGAACGAGGAAUUCCUAGUAAGCACUAGUCAUCAGCUAAUGUUGAUUAUGUCCCUGCCCUUUGUACACACCGCCCGUCGCUACUACUGAUUGGGUGUUCAAGUGAGAUGCUUAGACCCUUGUUGCAUGGUUCAUUAUUGUGCUCCGAAAGGAAAAAGUUUCAAGCUUGAGUGUCUAGAGGAAGUAAAAGUCGUAACA
rnacentral:rRNA from 1 species